rnacentral:rRNA from 1 species
AUUGAACGCUGGCGGCAGGCCUAACACAUGCAAGUCGAACGAGUGGCGGACGGGUGAGUAAUGUCUGGGAAACUGCCCGAUGGAGGGGGAUAACUACUGGAAACGGUAGCUAAUACCGCAUACCAUCGGAUGUGCCCAGAUGGGAUUAGCUAGUGGGUGGGGUAACGGCUCCCCUAGGCGACGAUCCCUAGCUGGUCUGAGAGGAUGACCAGCAACCUUGGAACUGAGACACGGUCCAGACUCCUACGGGAGGCAGAAGUGGGGAAUAUUGCACAAUGGGCGCACGCCUGAUGCAGCAAUGCGGCGUGUAGGAAGAAGGCCUUCGGGUUGAAAAGUACGUUGAGAGGGGAGGCGUUACUCGCAGAAGAAGCACCGGCUAACUCCGUGCCAGCAGCCGCGGUAAUUC